UACGAAGGGGGCUAGCGUUGCUCGGAAUCACUGGGCGUAAAGCGCACGUAGGCGGCUUACUAAGUCAGGGGUGAAAUCCUGGAGCUCAACUCCAGAACUGCCUUUGAUACUGGUGAGCUUGAGUCCGGAAGAGGUGAGUGGAACUGCGAGUGUAGAGGUGAAAUUCGUAGAUAUUCGCAAGAACACCAGUGGCGAAGGCGGCUCACUGGUCCGGUACUGACGCUGAGGUGACGAAAGCGUGGGGAGCAAACAGG
rnacentral:rRNA from 1 species